CUGCGCUUUCUCAAUGAAAUUUUUACAGUGUGUUGUACUACUUUUGGGACAAAUUAUAUCGAAAUUAUAGAAAACUUCAUCGGCUCUAACUCAAAAUAUGGACAAUUUUAUGUUUAGGGCGUCUUUAAAUCUUUUGACAGCUUCCGAAGUGCUGAUUUUUAACCUUUUUCAGCUGGACCAAAUCACUACUUUCCUUUAAAAUUCUGGACCCAAUUUUUUUUACAGUGUAAUUUCACCCCCCU
rnacentral:lncRNA from 1 species